CAAGUGCAGGGAUUAAAGGCAUGGGCCACCACUGCACUGCUUAAUCGCUUUUUUUGAUAUAUGUUCAUGGUAUGUAUGUGUACAUGUUCGUGUGUGCAUGUAUAUGCUGAUAUACAUGUAUGCAUAUGCACUCUUGGAAGCCACAGGUCAACAUCAGGUGUCUUCCUUGGUCACUUUCCAUUUUUGAGACAGGGUCUCUCUGAAUCUGCAGCUUACCUUCUGGACUAGACACAGGCAUGCAGCAAGCCACAGGCUCCCUUUUGUCCAGCCCUCCCAUCUCUGGGAUCAGAGCCCUGGCUGGCUUGGAGCUUGCCAUGCAGAGCACGCUGGUGUUGAACUCAGAGAUUCAUCUGCCUCUGCCUCCCAGAUGCUGGGAUUACAGGGAUGAGCUACCGCACCGAGCAGACCACUUCUUUCAAGUCUUUACAUCUCUCAGGUCAUGACUUCCUCAUCUCCUUUGGGAUCUGCCAGACCUGUCUGUGCAUGGCAAAGCUUAUCUAUCUGGUUAGAAGGCUUACCCAUCUGGUUGGAAGGUUUACCUACCUGGUUGUUGUAUUUUUUUAGUAAAAUCAACAUGGAACA